rnacentral:rRNA from 1 species
CCUACGGGAGGCAGCAGUGGGGGAUCUUGCACAAUGGAGGAAACUCUGAUGCAGCGACGCCGCGUGAGUGAAGACGGUCUUCGGAUCGUAAACCUCUGUCUUUGGGGAAGAACAUGACGGUACCCAAAGAGGAAGCUCCUGCUAACUACGUGCCAGCAGCCGCGGUAAUACGUAGGGAGAGAGCGUUGUCCGGAAUUAAUGGGUGUAACGGGAGCGUAGGCGGGCGAGAAAGUUGAAUGUUAAAUCUACCGGCUAAACGGGGAGCGGCGUUCAACACUUCUUGUCUUGAGUGAAGUAGAGGCAGGCGGAAUUCCUAGUGUAGCGGUGAAAUGCGUAGAGAUUAGGAGGAACACCAGUGGCGAAGGCGGCCUGCUGGGCUUUAACUGACGCUGAGGCUCGAAAGCGUGGGGAGCAAACAGGAUUAGAUACCCUUGUAGUC